UGAUAGCUGUACUGUGUUUGACGAAUUUGGGACGUAUACUGGUGGUUAUAUAGCCGCAAAUUUAGUUAUAUGGGCGACGCGUAAGCGUUGAUUCAUCUUCUAAC